GACGAACGCUGGCGGCGUGCUUAACACAUGCAAGUCGAACGGGAAGGCCCUGCUUUUGUGGGGUGCUCGAGUGGCGAACGGGUGAGUAACACGUGAGUAACCUGCCCUUGACUUUGGGAUAACUUCAGGAAACUGGGGCUAAUACCGGAUAGGAGCUCCUGCUGCAUGGUGGGGGUUGGAACGUUUCGGCGGUUGGGGAUGGACUCGCGGCUUAUCAGCUUGUUGGUGGGGUAGUGGCUUACCCAGGCUUUGACGGGUAGCCGGCCUGAGAGGGUGACCGGCCACAUUGGGACUGAGAUACGGCCCAGACUCCUACGGGAGGCAGCAGUGGGGAAUAUUGCACAAUGGGCGGAAGCCUGAUGCAGCAACGCCGCGUGCGGGAUGACGGCCUUCGGGUUGUAAACCGCUUUCGCCUGUGACGAAGCGUGAGUGACGGUAAUGGGUAAAGAAGCACCGGCUAACUACGUG
rnacentral:rRNA from 1 species